UUAAGGUGUGACCUGGGGUUACUGAAUUUGGAAGGAUAGGGAGAAGGCUAGCAUGCCCCUGCACCAGGAUGACACACAUAUUUGGGAAGCAUUCUAGGUUUUU